GAUGGCGGCCCUCAGGGCUGUGUGCAGCCUCCGCGGUGUCGGGGCCCAGGUGCUGCGGGCCGGGUCUGGGAUUCGUCUGCCGAGUCAGCCCAGCAGAGGUGCUCGGCGAUGGCAGCCAGAUAUAGAAUGGGCAGAGCAGUUUUCGGGAGCUGUCAUGUAUCCCUCCAAGGAAACAGCCCACUGGAAACCUCCUCCUUGGAAUGAUGUGGAUGUUUUGAAUGACCAACGUGACCCUGAACUUUGGGCCCCAGCACCCAGCAGCUCAUGGAGUCCUGAGACUCGUGCUGGAAUUGAGUGGAGAGAUGGUGCGGAAAUGUGACCCUCACAUCGGGCUCCUACACCGAGGCACGGAGAAGCUCAUCGAGUACAAGACCUAUCUGCAGGUGUGGAGGCCCUUCCAUAUUUUGACCGGUUGGACUAUGUGUCCAUGAUGUGUAAUGAACAGGCGUAUUCACUAGCUGUGGAGAAGUUGCUAAACAUCCAGCCUCCUCCCCGGGCGCAGUGGAUCCGAGGUAUGUU
rnacentral:lncRNA from 1 species